UCCCUGGUGGUCCAGUGGGUAGGGCUCUGUGUUCCAAAUGCAGGGGGCCUAGGUUCAAUCCCUGGUCGGGGAG